rnacentral:rRNA from 1 species
CGGGGGGAGCAAGCGUUGUUCGGAUUUACUGGGACGUAAAGGGCGCGUAGGCGGCCACCGCAAGUCGACUGUGAAAUCUCCGGGCUUAACCCGGAAAGGUCAGCCGAUACUGCGGGGCUAGAGUGCAGAAGGGGCAACUGGAAUUCUCGGUGUAGCGGUGAAAUGCGUAGAUAUCGAGAGGAACACCUGCGGCGAAGGCGGGUUGCUGGGCUGACACUGACGCUGAGGCGCGAAAGCUAGGGGAGCGAACGGGAUUAGAUACCCCGGUAGUCCUAGCCUUAAACGAUGAAUGCUUGGUGUCUGGGGUUUUAUAGUCCCCGGGUGCCGUCGCUAACGCUUUAAGCAGUUCCGCCUGGGGAGUACGGUCGCAAGACUG